rnacentral:rRNA from 1 species
UACGAAGGGGGCUAGCGUUGUUCGGAAUUACUGGGCGUAAAGCGCACGUAGGCGGAUCGAUCAGUCAGGGGUGAAAUCCCAGGGCUCAACCCUGGAACUGCCUUUGAUACUGUCGAUCUGGAGUAUGGAAGAGGUGAGUGGAAUUCCGAGUGUAGAGGUGAAAUUCGUAGAUAUUCGGAGGAACACCAGUGGCGAAGGCGGCUCACUGGUCCAUUACUGACGCUGAGGAGCGAAAGCGUGGGGAGCGAACAGG